rnacentral:rRNA from 1 species
GACGAACGCUGGCGGCGUGCUUAACACAUGCAAGUCGAACGGAAAGGCCCUGCUUUUGUGGGGUGCUCGAGUGGCGAACGGGUGAGUAACACGAGAGUAACCUGCCCUUGACUUUGGGAUAACUUCAGGAAACUGGGGCUAAUACCGGAUAGGAGCUCCUGCUGCAUGGUGGGGGUUGGAAAGUUUCGGCGGUGGGGGAUGGACUCGCGGCUUAUCAGCUUGUUGGUGGGGUAGUGGCUUACCAAGGCUUUGGCGGGUAGCCGGCCUGAGAGGGUGACCGGCCACAUUGGGACUGAGAUACGGCCCAGACUCCUACGGGAGGCAGUAGUGGGGAAUAUUGCACAGUGGGCGGAAGCCUGAUGCAGCAACGCCGCGUGCGGGAUGACGGCCUUCGGGUUGUAAACCGCUUUCGCCUGUGACGAAGCGUGAGUGACGGUAAUGGGUAAAGAAGCACCGGCUAACUACGUG